UCUACAACGACCCCGAGGCAGCUCGCUAGUCUGCCCGGGGGUGUCCUCUCCUACAACGGCCUCGGGGCAGCUCGCUAGUCUGCCCGGGGGCGUCACUUUCUACAACGGCCUCGGGGCAGCUGUCUGGUCUGCCGAGGACGUACUGGAGCUGGCUACCGCCAGGACGCCGGUAUAGCGCAGGCGUCAUUCCGGAGGCUUAGAAUGCUGAUGCCGGCGCGCGCUGAGAGCUCUCCCCUUUUUGCUGGUCGGCUAUCUAUGACCUGAUUACCUAUAGUCUCGUGGUCACUGUUUUAACCCCUUGUCAAGUUUUUAGGUAACAUAAAACAUUCAUGGUCAUCAUUGCCACGUGUAGCACAGGGGCUAAGCCCCUUACGUAAGUAACAGUAGCUGCGGCCUCUGUUUUCAGUUGCUUAACAACCAAUGGGUUUCCAUGUUUUUUAAGGGGCGGCGCUAAAAUCAUAACAAUAAUAACAAUAAUACAAUAAUAACAAUAAUUAUUAACAAUAACAAUAACAAUAAUAAAAGAAAAAGCAGCUCACUAGUCUGCCCGGGGAAGCCGUUUCUCAUGGCCUCGGGUGCUGCCCGGGAUGCUCCAUUCUUCCACCUUCUACAACGGACAUGGGGCGGCUCGCUUGUCUACCCGCAGGUGGCUGCCACUAGGACGCUCGGUAGCGCGGGUGUCCUUACGGCGGCUUAGAGCGCUGAUUCCUGGAACGAGCUGAGAGCCCUCCCCUUUUUUUGCUGGGCGGCUGUCAACGUCCUCCGUUGAUACUGUUCUAAUCCCUUCAAAAGUUCUGGGAAAAUUAAUGGUCGCGCUGACAGGCAUGUGCAUAGGGUUCAAGGUAAAGGAAAAUACAGCUUCUGCUGUCAGAUGCCUCAGAACUCAUGGAUGUUUUUUUUUCGGCGGGUAUAUCGAGGGCCUUUAGUUGGUGGAGGCUAUCAUCGCAGUAGUGGCUAAUGCUACCGGUUGUUCGUCCUGCUGUAAGGGCUUCGGUAUAAAUGGCGUAAUAUGGUUGUUCAAUGGUGACCGCUGUAUCGCUCACAUCCAUGUUGGCAGGUUUUAGGGAUCGUGGCGUUUCUGGUAAGCUUCGGGCCAGGUUGAGAAAAUAAUUACCUACCUUCAACCAAGCACGUAUUUGGGUGGGUUUCCGCCACUGGUCUCGACACUGGCGGCGACUAUAGGUCUUUUGUGUUAAUUUGUAUCCCCCAUUCGGUCUGCUGGUCUCGGGAAGGGGGUGUUUUAUUUUGGCGCAUUGGUGAUCGGAAGAGCACUACCA